CAACCCUAUUCUGUACUGGGCAUUGUUGUUGUAGGGGCGAGCUAUGGGGCUGCAGAUUAGUAGGUUUCUAUACUGUGUUGAUAAAGUUGAUGCUUGCUGUCCUGAUAUCAUCGAUUAUCACCGACCGCAUAAUUUAGUUUGCAAAUACAUCUCUGACUUAAUUAAGCUAGCUACACUUUCAACCAGCUAACAGGAGGGACGUGUGAGCGUCAACCAACGAUCCUGCUAAACGUUAGCCGACAAGCUAACGUUAUACUGGACGUUAAAACCUCUCCUCCUGGAGGUUACAUUUCAGACGAGCAGCAUUAUCAAAUAAAUAUCACUGAUGUUGGAAGUUUAUUUUUAAAUAAUUCCAGUUCCCGGCAAAUCAACGUCUAAUAAGUCAGUCGACAUCAAGGAUGCUGUGGCUAGCGUUACAGCUAACUUGCUAUAACGUUGUGUCAAGACCCCUAAUUUCCCUCCACUUGAUUACUACAACUGUUCGCGUUAGUAGUACAGUUCCUUUUCGCCAGUUGCUCGUCAGUUUUAUGUUGACGGAAAACACUGACUACUAAUCUGAAUUUUACAGCCAAAUUCACUUUAAUUUCGACGCUACAACGACAUCGAUGCGGCUGGAGAGUGAGCUAUAUGGGCGCUAACUAGCUGAAGCUAGCAUUGAAAGCAACCGUGUUUACAAACGGUCAAGUGGGAGCGUAAGCUAGCCGAACUGCUAGCAUGCAGGGGACGUUAGCCACUUAAGGCUAGCUAGCUACACUCGAGUAACGACUGCGCUACAUAGCAUGGAGUAAAUCGACCGCAAUCAAAUCCAAAUGUCAGCUACAUGAUAUGCUUAUAAUUUCCAAACAGCGGCGUUCGCUAACGUUAGCGGGCCAGCUAAAGCGAUUUCUAGCUUGCUAACGUUACCGCUUCUGUUUAGCCCCAGCUAACACACUUGAAACACUGGCCUCAAACUGCAAAGCUAACGACGUAUUUCUUCAACGUUUUUGAUCCAUUCACCAGGGAGGAUAAGUGUCGCCAUCUUCCAUACACACAGCCCGGAUGUCUAAAUCAUCAUGGCACACACAGGGUCAAAUGCGGUGGUUAGCUUGCUGCUGCUGCUGCUGCUGCUGCUGCUGCUAGCUCACAGUUGCAUGGUGGGACACGGAGGUCUUUCUCUGAGGGGCUUUGUUAACACGGAACUUUGUGUUCUAUUCAACGAGUGGCUCCAGAUCUCAAUGCAGAAAAGCUGUUCGUGUGGACCCUUAAAAUAUAUAAAUUCAAUCAAACACAAGCUACGUUUUUGUCAAGUUACAAAAUCCCCACUGAAGUUGUUUUGUGCGUGCUGCACUAGGUAGAUCUAAGACACAAUGUAUGUGAAUCAGGGGUAAAUGUUGAAUUACAUACAAUAUAUAUAAUACAACGGGCACUUUGAAAAUAGAAUAAAAACACAAAUUUAUUAUACACAAAUAUUUUUAAAUAUGUGUAAACAUACAGAUGUAUGCACAUUUUUCAGCAGUUCAAUGCAAAACAGGAAAAAAAAGUCAAAAAUAAAAUGAUUAAUGUGACGUUUACAGGCAAUUCUAAGAUAUAUUUUUCUCAAAUGCCUUACCAUGGAUAGUUAGUGUGUGUAUGUGGUAAUGACCAUGUGAUCCGUUCCUCCAGUUUAUAGUGAGAUUCUCAGGAAAGUAGGGGGUUUGUCUCUAACUACAAUAUGAAUACAUCAUUUUCCAUAAAAUCUGAAUCUGCCAACCAGGCCGACACACAGAGGUAAAGAAAUACAGCUACAAUCGAUUUGAAAGGCAAACAAAACCAUGUGCUGCAUGUGUACUCGAAAACUGGUGGGUUAACUUGCAAUAGUUAUGUUCUAUUUCAUUAACGUUUCCCCUAUAGAAUUUCAAGCAAACAGAAAAAUGCAAAUAUAAACCGAGCACCGAUUCACAAUAUAUUACACAUCUGUUAUUGUAUAAUAUACAUUUCUGAUACUAUAAUAGUUGACUAAAGAUUUCUAAAACUUUAUGAUUCAGAAUAAUUUUUAUAACUCUUAUACACACACAACAGUGGUACAUCAAAUAAAAUGGAAAAAAAAAAAAUCCUCUGCACACUUUCAAGCUAAAAAAAAAGAAAGAAAACAA